rnacentral:rRNA from 1 species
GGUUAAGCGACUAAGCGUACACGGUGGAUGCCCUGGCAGUCAGAGGCGAUGAAGGACGUGCUAAUCUGCGAAAAGCGUCGGUAAGGUGAUAUGAACCGUUAUAGCCGGCGAUGUCCGAAUGGGGAAACCCAGUGCAAUUCGUUGCACUAUCGUUAACUGAAUACAUAGGUUAACGAGGCGAACCGGGGGAACUGAAACAUCUAAGUACCCCGAGGAAAAGAAAUCAACCGAGAUUCCCCCAGUAGCGGCGAGCGAACGGGGAGCAGCCCGGAGUCUGAAUCAGCUUGUGUGUUAGUGGAAGCGUCUGGAAAGUCGCAGGGUACAGGGUGAUACUCCCGUACACUAAAACACACAGGUUGUGAACUCGAAGAGUAGGGCGGGACACGUGGUAUCCUGUCUGAAUAUGGGGGGACCAUCCUCCAAGGCUAAAUACU